GGUUGAUCCUGCCGGACCCCACUGCUAUCGGGAUAGGACUAAGACAUGCUAGUCGAACUCUCCAGCCAACACGGAGCGUGGCGCACAGCUCAGUAACACGUGGCUAACCUGCCCUUGGGACAAGAACAACCCCGCGAAAGUGGGGCUAAUUCUCGAUAGGCGAAGAACUCUGGAAUGAGUCUUCACCCAAACAGCGUAGAGUUAUGCUCUUUACUCCGCCCAAGGAUGGGGCCGCGACCGAUCAGGUUGUUGGUGAGGUAAUGGCUCACCAAGCCUUUAACCGGUGCGGGCC
rnacentral:rRNA from 1 species